AGCGUUUUAUGUUCUCCUCUUAAGGAGGAGCUAAGAGGGAAGCAGGUGAGAGUCCUGCACGGUCCCGCCACUGUAAACGAGGAGUCUCUUUCCACGGCAAAGCCACCCACUGAAAAUUGAAUGUCCGGAGGACAAGUCAGUUUUGGGAAGGGCGGUAAGAGACGAUGAUUCGUAAGUCAGGAGACCUGCAUAAU
rnacentral:ncRNA from 1 species